GACGAACGCUGGCGGCGUGCUUAACACAUGCAAGUCGAGCGGAAAGGCCCUUCGGGGUACUCGAGCGGCGAACGGGUGAGUAACACGUGAGUAAUCUGCCCUUCACUCUGGGAUAGCCACCGGAAACGGUGAUUAAUACCGGAUACGACCAAUCCCUGCAUGGGGUGUUGGUGGAAACUUUUUUGGGUGGGGGAUGUGCUCGCGGCCUAUCAGCUUGUUGGUGGGGUAAUGGCCUACCAAGGCUUCGACGGGUAGCCGGCCUGAGAGGGUGACCGGCCACACUGGGACUGAGACAGUGCCCAGACUCCUACGGGAGGCAGCAGUGGGGAAUAUUGGACAAUGGGCGGAAGCCUGAUCCAGCAACGCCGCGUGAGGGAUGACGGCCUUCGGGUUGUAAACCUCUUUCAGCACCGACGAAGCGCAAGUGACGGUAGGUGCAGAAGAAGGACCGGCCAACUACGUGCCAGCCGCCGCCGUAAGAC
rnacentral:rRNA from 1 species